GAUGAAGAACGUAGCGAAAUGCGAUACGUAGUGUGAAUUGCAGAAUUCAGUGAAUCAUCGAAUCUUUGAACGCACAUUGCACCUCUCGGUAUUCCGGGAGGUAUGCCUGUUCGAGCGUCAUUUGUACCCUCAAGCUCUGCUUGGUGUUGGGUGUUUGUUCCGCCUCUGUGUGUGAACUCGCCUCAAAACAAUUGGCAGCCGGCGUACUUGUUUCGGAGCGCAGCACAUUUUGCGAUCCAGAUCAACGUACAGCGGCAUCCAAGAAGCCUUAUUUAACGCUCUUGACCUCGGAUCAGGUAGGGAUACCCGCUGAACUUUAGCAUAUCAAUAAGCGGAGGA
rnacentral:misc_RNA from 1 species